rnacentral:rRNA from 1 species
GAUGAACGCUAGCGGGAGGCCUAAUACAUGCAAGUCGAACGGUAAGGUCCCUUCGGGGAUACACGAGUGGCGGACGGGUGCGUAACGCGUACGAAACAUACCUUCAACAGGGAGAUACCUCCGGGAAACUGGAAAUAAUACCCCAUAGUAUUGUGACAUCGCAUGAUGUUACAAUUAAAGACUUUGGUCGGUUGAAGAUUGUCGUGCGUCUGAUUAGCUAGUUGGUGAGGUAACGGCUCACCAAGGCGACGAUCAGUAGCUGGUCUGAGAGGAUGAUCAGCCACACUGGAACUGAGACACGGUCCAGACUCCUACGGGAGGCAGCAGUAGGGAAUAUUGGACAAUGGGCGGAAGCCUGAUCCA